rnacentral:tRNA from 1 species
GCCUGGGUGGCUCAGUCGGUUAGGCGUCUGAGUUCGGCUCAGGUCAUGAUCUCGCGGUCCGUGGGUUCAAGCCCCACGUCAGGCU